UGUGUGAACUUUCACUUACUUGCCCU
rnacentral:misc_RNA from 1 species